rnacentral:lncRNA from 1 species
AUCUCGUUGUCGGGGAAGCUCGGAUAUCCACGAAGUUCGAAAGAAGUUCGAAGUAGGGUCGUCCAUGGCCAGAAGAAGUCUGGAAGGGAUUCCAAGAAUAGUUGAUCACUGUAGGCUGAUAGUGAAGCCCAGAGAGCCUUUGGAGCGGCCCGGUAGAUAAAUGGAGAAGCUCAUUACUGGAGAAGUCUGGAUGGUAUUAUGGAAGCUUGGAUGGUCGAGGGGGUUCAGAAAGACGUCACAC